rnacentral:rRNA from 1 species
CUUAGAGUUUGAUCCAUGGCUCAGGACGAACGCUGGCGGCGUGCCUAAUACAUGCAAGUCGAGCGCAGGAAAUAAACAGAACCCUUCGGGGUGAUGUUUAUGGAAUGAGCGGCGGACGGGUGAGUAACACGUGGGCAACCUGCCUGUAAGAUCGGGAUAACUCGCGGAAACGUGAGCUAAUACCGGAUAACACUUUUCAUCUCAUGGUGAGAAGAUAAAAGACGGUUUCGGCUGUCCACUUACAGAUGGGCCCGCGGCGCAUUAGCUAGUUGGUGAGGUAACGGCUCACCAAGGCGACGAUGCGUAGCCGACCUGAGAGGGUGAUCGGCCACACUGGGACUGAGACACGGCCCAGACUCCUACGGGAGGCAGCAGUAGGGAAUCUUCCGCAAUGGACGAAAGUCUGACGGAGCAACGCCGCGUGAGUGAUGAAGGUUUUCGGAUCGUAAAACUCUGUUGUUAGGGAAGAACAAGCUGGGUAGUAACUGACCCAACCUGACGUACCUAACCAGAAAGCCACGG